rnacentral:misc_RNA from 1 species
ACUGGGAUUUGCAAAAGACCGUACUAUUAGCAGAUUGACAGAGAUGAACAGCAAAGAAUAUUUAGAGCACCAUGCUGCCAUGUUAGUUGAGAAACAGCUCUUACAGGAAGAUGUUAUUGGAAACGCUGUGCUAGUGUGAGACAGAAUGGAAGGUAUCCAGUAUCAUUAUCUUAACCCAAUAAACUGCGGUCACUGGUUAUGCCAUUUUAUGUUCGCUAACCUGAUCACAGUUUUCCUGCCAAAUUCAGUAUAGGUUUCAUUAAAAUCUUAAGUCAGCUAGUGAAUAAAAUGUAAUUCAUCAUCUUUAAAAUAUAAAGCCAGCUUGAAUGCAAUCAAAAUCAUACUCUGUCAGAUAGGUCUUUCUUUUUCUCAGUCAUGCUGUUCAAUUUAAAUGUUAGCAAUUAUUACAGACCAGAACUUUACCCCAAUGUAACAAUUAUGUAACCAGAUUACUGGAGUUAAUGACAGGGAAAUUUUUGCUUAAAAU